rnacentral:tRNA from 1 species
AUUUAAAUAGUUUAAUAAAAAUUUUGAGUUGUGGGCUCAAUGAUGUAGUGAUACUUUAAAUA